UCCCCGGUAGCUCAAUUGGUGGAGCGCCGGACUGUUAAUCCGUAGGUUGUUGGUUCGAGUCCAACCCGGGGAGCCA
rnacentral:tRNA from 1 species